rnacentral:rRNA from 1 species
GGAAUAUUGCGCAAUGGGCGACAGCCUGACGCAGCGACGCCGCGUGAGGGAUGAAGGCCUUCGGGUUGUAAACCUCUUUUCUCAGGGACGAUGAUGACGGUACCUGAGGAAUAAGCCACGGCUAACUACGUGCCAGCAGCCGCGGUAAUACGUAGGUGGCAAGCGUUGUCCGGAUUUACUGGGCGUAAAGGGCGCGCAGGCGGUCGAUUAAGUCGAGUGUGAAAGCCCCCGGCUCAACUGGGGAGGGUCACUCGAUACUGGUCGACUCGAAGGCAGGAGAGGGAAGUGGAAUUCCCGGUGUAGUGGUGAAAUGCGUAGAUAUCGGGAGGAACACCAGUGGCGAAGGCGACUUCCUGGCCUGUUCUUGACGCUGAGGCGCGAAAGCUAGGGGAGCAAAC